rnacentral:rRNA from 1 species
GACGAACGCUGGCGGCGUGCUUAACACAUGCCAGUCGAACGAUGAACCCGGAGCUUGCUCUGGGGGAUUAGUGGCGAACGGGUGAGUAACACGUGAGUAACCUGCCCUGGACUCUGGGAUAAGCGUUGGAAACGACGUCUAAUACCGGAUAGGACCUUGGAUCGCAUGAUCUGGGGUGGAAAGUUUUUUCGGUCUGGGAUGGACUCGCGGCCUAUCAGCUUGUUGGUGAGGUAAUGGCUCACCAAGGCGUCGACGGGUAGCCGGCCUGAGAGGGUGACCGGCCACACUGGGACGGAGACACGGCACAGACUCCUACGGGAGGCAGCAGUGGGGGAUAUUGCACAAUGGGCGAAAGCCUGAUGCAGCAACGCCGCGUGCGGGAGGACGGCCUUCGGGUUGUAAACCGAUUUUAGUAGGGAAGAAGGGCUUCGGCUUGACGGUACCUGCAGAAAAAGGACCGGCUAACUACGUG